AAUGAACGCUGGCGGCGUGCCUAACACAUGCAAGUCGAACGAGAAAGUCCUUCGGGGCGAGUAAAGUGGCGCACGGGUGAGUAACGCGUAGGCAACCUACCCUCGGGACCGGGAUAACAGUGCGAAAGUGCUGCUAAUACCGGAUACGAUCCUUUGGAGGGAGCUGGAGGGUGAAAGUCGGCCUCUCGAAGAAGCCGAUGUUCGAGGAUGGGCCUGCGUCCUAUCAGCUAGUUGGUGAGGUAACGGCCCACCAAGGCGACGACGGGUAGCUGGCGUGAGAGCGCGGCCAGCCACACUGGGACUGAGACACGGCCCAGACUCCUACGGGAGGCAGCAGUGGGGAAUCUUGCACAAUGGGCGCAAGCCUGAUGCAGCGACGCCGCGUGGGGGAUGAAGGCCUUCGGGUUGUAAACCCCUUUCGGCAGGGAAGAAGCCGCAAGGUGACGGUACCUGCAGAAGAAGCCCCGGCUAACUACGUGCCAGCAGCCGCCGUAAAAC
rnacentral:rRNA from 1 species